GCCUGUUUGGCUCAGUGGAGAGAGCAUUGGCCUAUGGACUAAAAGGUCCCAGGUUCGAUUCCUGUCAAGGGCA
rnacentral:tRNA from 1 species